CGGCGAGUGGCGCACGGGUGAGUAAUACAUCGGAACGUGUCUUCUAGUGGGGGAUAACUGCCCGAAAGGGCAGCUAAUACCGCAUGAGACCUGAGGGUGAAAGCGGGGGAUCGCAAGACCUCGCGCUGGAAGAGCGGCCGAUGUCCGAUUAGCUAGUUGGUGAGGUAAAGGCUCACCAAGGCGACGAUCGGUAGCUGGUCUGAGAGGACGACCAGCCACACUGGGACUGAGACACGGCCCAGACUCCUACGGGAGGCAGCAGUGGGGAAUUUUGGACAAUGGGGGCAACCCUGAUCCAGCCAUGCCGCGUGCAGGAUGAAGGUCUUCGGAUUGUAAACUGCUUUUGUCAGGGACGAAAAGGGAUGCGAUAACACCGUAUUCCGCUGACGGUACCUGAAGAAUAAGCACCGGCUAACUACGUGCCAGCAGCCGCGGUAAUACGUAGGGUGCAAGCGUUAAUCGGAAUUACUGGGCGUAAAGCGUGCGCAGGCGGUUCUGUAAGAUAGAUGUGAAAUCCCCGGGCUCAACCUGGGAAUUGCAUAUAUGACUGCAGGACUUGAGUUUGUCAGAGGAGGGUGGAAUUCCACGUGUAGCAGGGAAAUGCGUAGAUAUGUGGAAGAACACCGAUGGCGAAGG
rnacentral:rRNA from 2 species